UCCAAGAGAUCUAAACUCGUCAUUCUUGAGAGUCGUGUCACGUUGCGAUCUGAUUUGCAAUAAAGCUUUCUUCAGAUUCAUCACUUGCUAGCUUGCAUUAGAUGUUUAUAACAUAGCAUACAUAUAUGGCUGUGCAAUGUCUUUAUUCCCUCUCACAUGGUUCAUAGAUUACAAAGGUUACUUUUUCAAUGAAGGAUUCACAGGAUAGUCAUAUAGACAUAUCUUGUGUUUUUUGCAGUGUGGAAAUGAUAAAAGAGGUUUCACUGGAGAGUGAUUUGGCUAUUUUGAUUCGUGGCCUUUACUCUGCAAGAAAUAGAAAGAGAAGCAUGUAAGCAGCUUUUUGAAGUACAUGUAGAAGAUUGUCAUUAGGAGACGAUUCUUGUAACUAGUUAUCUUAGGACUUUUUUUUUUUUUUUUGUCAGAAGAACUUAAAAUUUAAUUACUUCAAUUUUUAAAGGAAUAGGAGUCUCAAUAGUACUUUAAUGGAGUGGGACCUAAAACUUGGAUGAUCUUUCCCUUAACGAGGGCGUUGUCUGAGCUACGUGUGUCAGGAAGAAUAGAGUUAAUAUUACAUCUAUAAGUAUAAAAUCUUACACGAUUUAUUGACAUUUUCUAGGCAUCUAUAAUGCAACUUAACAACCGUAUUAAUGACCAUUAACAAUUUUAAAUGCUAGUUUGUUACAUUAGUUACAAUCCAUGACUACUUGACUCCCCUUGCAAAUAGCUGUAUGAAGAGAUAAAUCCCUCUUAGUCAAGAAUGAGGCUAAUAUAUUUAGUUACCUCCCGCUCUCCCGGCAAAGUUUCUGGUAGUAACAGGUGAAUGGGGUGCCCAUACAGUUUGUGCAGAGCCUUUUUAUUGCUACUGAAUAAGACAUUUUUCCCCACGACUCAUUGGGAAUAAUUUCAAUUUUCAUGUAAAUAAUAUUUUCAUACCUUUUUUAGCUGUUUUUUUUAGUCAUUCUUGCAAAGUAAAUGAAUACAUGUAACUAAUACAUAACUAAAAUAGCUAUCCACUUUUCAAACCUGCAAUACUAACCAUCUGUCUACAGCAGAUCCGUAAUGUUUCCACCCUUCUCUCUUACUUCACUUUGGACUCAUUUAAGGUGUUGAAGGGAAUGGAGCAAGAAAUCUUCAAUCAAUUCAUGAAACUGAGUUGUGAUGUCAUUCGAAUUGAUCGC
rnacentral:lncRNA from 1 species